CCGAGGAGUCCUGGCCGUUCUCGAGUCGCAGGGGCUCACGAACCCCGAAGGCGCAGCGAAAGCGAGAGAGUGCGACGUCGGCUGCCGUUCCAUCGGUCGGCCUUCUUUCCCUUUUCCUCGGCUCUUCGUCCUUCUUCUUUUUCUUCUUCUUCUAGGAGGAGCAGGAGGAGAGGGCGGCGGGUGUCUGGGGGGUCGGGAUCGGUCGAUCGGGUCGGUAGACGCGCCGCGCCCGCCGGUGGGAUCCCGCGGCCCGAUUCAGGGUCUGAGCCGCGGGCGCACCACCCCCGGGUCGGCCGGAGUACGACUCUGCCGACUCAGGCGUAGCGAGCGGCCGGGGACCCGAAAGAUGGCGAUCCACGCCCGGUCGGGACGAAGCCAGAGGAAACUCUGGUGGAAGUCCGAAGCGCCUCUGACGUGCAAAUCGAUCGUCGGAACCGGGUGUAGGGGCGAAAGACCAAUCCCGCCGUCUA
rnacentral:rRNA from 1 species